UUUUUUUUUUUUUUGAUACUCAAGAAUUUUAGGAGUUGUUUGAUUGAAUAUAAUUAUAAAUAUAGUGGAGAUGAAAAUAUAUAUAGUUAAAAAUGUUGGCGUUAUAAUUAUAUAUUUUUGUUAAGUUCAACAGUAGAAAGAAUUGUAGUUAUAAUUUUCUUAUUUGGUUGUAUGUAGUUGAGAAGCAUAUUAUAAAAUUUUAUUAUUUUUUAUAUGUGACGGUGAGAUUAUCCCUUUUGUAGAAAAAUAUAUUUUUACUUUAAAAUGUUGUUAGAGAGGUAAGCGUACUCUUUUACAAUAAGUUAUUCUGUCUAACUACUGCAGUAGAAUUACAAUCAAUUUGGACAUAGUUUCAAAUACUGUAGUUGAGUCUUCUCAUGUCUAAUUGCAGCAGUUAAUUAAUUAAAAUACAUCAAAUCAAAUACCAGAUUUGCAUAUACAUACUGUUACAACUGCAAUUUGGUUGUAAAUACUUGCAAUCAAAUAGUCCCUUAAAUUUUAUUUUUAACUUUUUUUUUUAGCUUCUAGAUGUGUCUUAUUUUAAUCAUUCUCCGUAUUUAUUGUUAGAGAAAAAAUUGUUGGCUAAACCUGAUACAUCUUUCUAUUCACAUACCAAACGUCUAUUGAUCUUAAGUUUUAUACCAUAUUUUAAUUCUAGAAACUAUUGGGUUAUAGCUUUUUCUCUAAUGAGCAAAGGAAUUGUCAGAUUUAAAAUUAUAAGGUAGAUGAAGUGUAACGUACUGAACUUUGGCUAAAUUGAUAAAGUACGAAUUAAGUUAUACUAGACAUGAUUAGAAUGAGUUUCAAGAGGUUUAGACUAUAUUUGAAUCAAAUUGAAAAUAAUUUGGAU
rnacentral:lncRNA from 1 species